AUGUCUAAUGUUUUUUCGCCUGGGGAAUUAAUCGGACUAUUGCGAGCGGAACGAGCAGGACGAGCUUUGGAUGAAUCGAUCUAUUAUCGGGCAAUCUUAUUGGGAAUAACAAGGGCUUUCCUAAAUACCCAAAGUUUCAUAUCUGAAGCAAGUUUUCAAGAAGCUGCUCGAGUUUUAGCAAAAGCUGCCCUACGAGGUCGCAUUGGUUGGUUGAAAGGCUUGAAAGAAAACGUAGUUCUGGGGGGGAUUAUACUUGUUGGUACCGGAUUCCAAAAAUUUGUGCAACGUUCCCCACAAGACAAGAACCUUUAUUUUGAAAAAAAAAAUCUAUUCGCGUCGGAAAUGAGAGAUUUUUUGUUUCUCCAUACAGAAUUAGUUUCUUCAGAUUCUGACGUAACAAACAAUUUUUAUGAGACAUAA
rnacentral:rRNA from 1 species